rnacentral:tRNA from 1 species
GCAGUCGUGGCCGAGUGGUUAAGGCGACAGACUAGAAAUCCAUUGGGGUCUCCCCGCACAGGUUCGAAUCCUGUCGACUGCG